rnacentral:lncRNA from 1 species
GGGGAGAGACCUAUUGAACUUACCUAAUAUCACUGGUAUAUCCAUAUCCUUAGGAUUGACCUGUAAGGAUUGGAUAACCCCAUCAGAGACUUUUCCCUGGAGAAGACUGGUUUUUAAUUUCCUGUAUUUCUUCAUUUAGGAGUAGGGCUUUGUGAGAGUUCACGUUAUAGGUACUGCCAUUACUCUGGUCUCCUUUUGGUGGCCAUAUUGUUGAGAUCUGAUGGGUGUGGCUUUUCUGUCAUAACUAGAAGACACUGUCUUCCAGCAGACUUCCUGGUCCCCUGGCUCUUAAACUCUUUCUACCCCCUUUUCCAUGAUGAUCCAUGAGGCUUAGGUGUAGGGAUGUGUAAUCGAUGUAUCUAUCAGCUGGGGCUAGGUGCCCCCGGUCAGAUGUUCUCUGCGUUUGACUAGUCAUGCCUUUCUAUAAUGGUCUCCAUUCAUUGACAAUGUCCACAGAGAUGUUAAUGACUAAUUUUGCAUUUGUUUUUUAUUAUAAUAAUUCACCUUUGUCACUUUGCUACUGUUUUAGUGUGGCUCUGCUGAAUAGCACCUUCCAUUGGGAAUUCAAGCCCCAGGCAGAUUUGUGUAAGUGAUAAAUGUAAUAUCCUUCUCAGGACCUCUGAGCUAAGUAAAAUAUUUUUCCAUCAAAGGCAGCCUCGAGUUUUUCCUGUCUCCUCCUACCACACCCUGUAUAGAACUGCUAUCAGCUUAUCACAUGUUGAAUCAAAUUACCUAAUUGUCUUGACAUGUGUGCCUCACUAAUUCAUCUGGUGCCUAGGUACAAGACUGCCUCAAAUCAUCUGACACUUUAUUCUACAGAAUCACAAAACCAAAGCUUUCCGGGUGGGGUGCCUCCUCUCUGUUUGCAUCCUUAUGAGUGCUGCCCCUGUGGGACUGUGCUGUGUGGUCGGAUAGAAGAUUAAAGCAGAAAGACAGAAGAGGCUUAACGAUGGGAGAGAGAAGAAAAAGUGAAACUUUUUGAAAAUGGUUAAUAUGGCCGCAGUACACAAAACUCUUGCACAAAUAUUUAGGUGUACCAUCUUUGUCCUAAGAAAGCUUAUGCAAACAAUAACUUGUUGAGGUACGGCACAGACUGUUUACCUCACAAAGCGCCGUAACACGCAUUUCCAGACGAACCAGCCUUAGAGCUGACACAACUCCUUGGGGGCAAGGACUUUGUAUGUUUGGCACAAGCACACCUAUUGUACAUCAGUGCUGUUAAAUAUUUAAUAACACUUCCUCCCACACUGGUUCCUGGCAAGGCUAACCUUCCUGAUUUUUCAUGUCUACAAUCAAAUCUGUAUUUGUACAUUAAUCAUUUGAGGUGUGGUGUAAUUUUUAAGCUCAAGUGAGGACACACCAUCUUCUGUAUGUCUGGGAUCUGCUAGGGGGGUGAUGAGAUUGUAUAUAAUUAGCAACAAAUAUUACACACUGGUAUCUUUUCCUUUUAAAAAUCUUGGUCUGGAGAGAUGGCUCUGCAAUUAAGAAUACUUGUUGAGGUAGAAUAUGGAUUGUUUACCUAGUGACCCAGAGGACCUGGGUUGGGUUCCCAUGACCCACAUGGAAGCCCACAACUGUUUAUAAUUCCAGUUCCAAGGGAUCUGACACCCUCUUCUGACUUCUGUACAGGUGGUGCACAAACACACAUGUAGGCAAAAUAUUCACAUACAUGAAAAGAGAUAAAAAUGAUUUUCUGAUAUUUUCAUUUUUACAUACGUCCCUUCAAAGCAAGCCACAGUUUUAGAAGUGACUCUAGGACCUGGCGUUGUCAUCCAAGGUCCAUAACUAGUAGUCUGAGCAUGAGUGUUUCACUUUAACUCCCUGAAAAUCAGUUUGCUCAUCUCUGAACCAAUCCUUCGGGGCUCAUCCCAGUCCUCUAGCUCACUGCCCAUUCCAAGAUGCGAUAUCUGUGUUUAUGGAUUCAGAACAACAGAGUGUGUUCCUUUGUUAGUUUUUUUGGAUGACUACAAUGUGUGCCACUACUGUUUAAUUUGCUACCUUACUCUUUUCUUCCAGGGGAAUUGACCCAGUGCUCACCAUAUGGAUGACAGUAGUUGUGGCAUGCCAUGGAAAUUCCGAAAUGCACACAUAAAGAGUGACCUAAUUAUUUAAUUCUGUGCACUUGACAUCAACAGGAGUGUAAAUGAGAACAGAGUGGUAAUGAUACCUGUUGACCAGACAAUGAGGAUGGGGACCCCAGUUCCAGAUUAUGAGCUAUGGGCAAUUAAUGACUGUCAAGAAAGGGAGAGUUAGUGUUCCCCAGGCAUGAAUUGAUUAUUGAUUAUCCAGUUCCAAGUGGUCAGCUCUGAAAACCAUAUACAUGUGAGUAACAUUUAAUGGACUCAGCAGGUUGUAGUUAUAAAUGCAUUCGUAAGUGGGUAUGUAAUAAUUAAAGGAAAAGAGGCCAUGAACUUGAGGAGGAAGAGGAGGGGGAGGGGAGAAGGGGGGAGGAAGAGGAAGGGCAAUCAGAACAGCCCAUGCACUUAACAUGGCAAAAUAAAUUUAGUAAAACAUGUUUAACUGUGAGAAAAUCAACAAGAUUUUAAAUUGGAUAAAAUCUCUUGCAUCUGAGAGACAAAAGUCUACUGACCACAUGAACUCUGUCCCUUGGUUUCUUUAUCACUAGAAUGAAAACCUUAUCUUUCUGUUUGCCGAAGAACAAGAAAGGAGAUAAAUACAUAGAGGCAUAAAGGUUUGCCGUGGUUAUGAGGCCUGGGUUUGGGAAGUUCCUUGUGUAAAGACACUGGUGCAGCCUGGUGUUGUGGAUUCUCACUGCCUUCCUCCCAUCCGUUCCCACUCCCAUCCUCGCUGGUGAUUUUUGCCAGAGUCCUGUGUCCCGUGUUCGGAGUCUCCUACUUUUACACAUGC